rnacentral:rRNA from 1 species
CCUACGGGAGGCAGCAGUGAGGAAUAUUGGUCAAUGGACGAGAGUCUGAACCAGCCAAGUAGCGUGAAGGAUGACUGCCCUAUGGGUUGUAAACUUCUUUUAUAUGGGAAUAAAAUGUUCCACGUGUGGGAUUUUGUAUGUACCAUAUGAAUAAGGAUCGGCUCACUCCGUGCCAGCAGCCGCGGUAAUACGGAGGAUCCGAGCUUUAUCCGGUUUGAUUGGGUUUAAAGGGAGCGUAGGUGGAUUGUUAAGUCAGUUGUGAAAGUUUGCGGAUCAACCGUAAAAUUGCAGUUGAAACUGGCAGUCUUGAGUACAGUAGAGGUGGGCGGAAUUCGUGGUGUAGCGGUGAAAUGCUUAGAUAUCACGAAGAACUCCGAUUGCGAAGGCAGCUCACUGGACUGCAACUGACACUGAGGCUCGAAAGUGUGGGUAUCAAACAGGAUUAGAUACCCGGGUAGUC